UACGGGGGGAGCAAGCGUUGUUCGGAUUUACUGGACGUAAAGGGCGCGUAGGCGGCGCAACAAGUCACUUGUGAAAUCUCCGGGCUUAACCCGGAGCGGCCAAGUGAUACUGUCGUGCUAGAGUGCGGAAGGGGCUACUGGAAUUCUCGGUGUAGCGGUGAAAUGCGUAGAUAUCGAGAGGAACACCUGCGGCGAAGGCGGGUAGCUGGGCCGACACUGACGCUGAGGCGAGCGAAAGCCGGGUGGGAGAAC
rnacentral:rRNA from 1 species